rfam:Oryza sativa Japonica Group DNA, chromosome 11, cultivar: Nipponbare, complete sequence.
GGAUGCGAUCAUGCCAGCACUAAAGCAUCGGAUCCCAUCAGAACUCCGAAGUUAAGCGUGCUUGGGCGAGAGUAGUACUAGGAUGGACGAAGUUAAGCGUGCUUGCGCGAGAGUAGUACUAGGAUGGGUGACCUCCUGGAAAGUCCUCGUGUUGCAUCCC